UGUUCUCUCUCUCUGUCUCAAAAUAAAUAAAUAAACAUUAAAAAAAUUUAAAAAAAUGAUCCAUUCAAGACUAGGCUCAUAUACCUGCACUUUGCUUUUUUUGAGGAAAUGGACAUUGCAAGUUGUAACUGAACAUGCUUCCUGUCUUGCCUUGUUAGCCAAGAAACUUGUUUCAAAAUUUUUGGCCUGUUCUCUAGCAACUAUUUAAGACUAUGUGGUUACUUACUUGACACUCAUCUCUAACCUUGGGUUUCCUUUCAUAAUUUUUUUCAGCGUAACUCCCUUCAGUAUUGACCUGUUACAGACUCUGAAUUUUUUCUAAGCUACGUUACGUCAUUUGUGAAAUGAAGACACCAUGAGAAAACGAGCUGCAAUGUCCCAUCUGGGAGCUACUGUCAGAACCACAUGACCAUGUGCAGGUGGAACUCAGUGACAAAGUGGGGAGAGACGUUGGGGCUGAAAAGUCUGAAAAAGAAGGGGAAUCAACACCUGUUGUGAAUGGAAAGUGAACACAGAAUACAGAUUUUUCAAGUAAGCUUAUUGACUCUAAGAGUUUUUAGACCUAAGCAGUCUGGCCAGAAAACUGCUUAAAACAUGGCUUUUCCUAGGCCUGCAAAUAUAACAGAAAAGGGUUUCUUUCCGGAUUCCCUAACUCCUGCUAUUGUGAUUCUGUUGUUUCUUGUCUUUUUCUUGGUGCACAGUAUGCUUGAGCCAAAAAGCGUGCCAAGGCAUCUCCCUUCUGUGCUUUGUCGUAACUUAUUCCUAAAGUUAUGUUCUCUGGUUUUGAGAUGCUUGGGAUAUGAUUAAAUAUAGCAUCCUCAUAAACAAAGGUAAGUUUUAUCCUUUUGAUUUCUAGAAUGUUGAUUUGAGAUGGCUCAUUCUACUCAAGCAUCUUGUUAGUUUCCUGUUUCCUUUCUUUUCCAUGCCAAUUCACACACUGGAACUGAUCAAUCUGCCAGCUAAGUUAAUGGAUACAAAAUGGUAUUCUCUUCAGUUCUCAAGCAUCUGUGAUGUCUCCUCUCUGUGUGACAUUCUGAAGGUUGGCUUCAUUGCUGUGGCCUGUGAUUUUAAAUCCACUGUAAUUACAAUGGCCUCACCACAUUCUCCCCUCCAGGUGUCCUGGAUAUUCCUAGGAACAGCUUGCAUCUCUGCUCCUACUUUGUGUUUCUUGGAAACAUUUAAAGCCAGUUCUGAGCCUGUACCUUCCUUCAGUCUUCUCCCACAGGACUUGGCAUGGGAUGAAGACGACUGGGGAAGAAGGGAGACACAGCUUCCUAAGUAGAUCCUGAGAGUUAGAUUCUGGGGCUGAGGGGUUGUCUCGGGAGCAGGGUCAUCCCUUUCUGAUGCCUGUUGCCCAACAUCCUCACGGCACAAUGACUUGUUCUGAAGAAAAAGACUGUAUUGCCCUGAAGGUUCUAGAAUCUCUUUUGAACACAGGCAGCCAGUCCCAAUUGGCCCUUUGAGGAUAUAAACAUGCCUUCAGAACACUUCUCUUCUUAAAGCUCAAGAUUUCUUCAUGAAAUAUUAACCCAAGGUAUUCUGCAGGUUCAGAGUGGAUUAGUUCUGCCUGCAACCCUUUUAGCUUGGCUUGGAACCACCGAGAGUGCCCUUAAUGACAACAGAUUACUCCUGCUUUCAAACACAUUGGGGCAAUUAAAAACUGCUUGCAACUCAGAGGCAACAUCACCCAAUGCAAAGGGAGUUUGCAUAAUCCGCUUGAGAGAUUUUAAAAUAAAGUGUUAUCAUUACUUUUUCAGUGAUGUGUCAGAUGUAUCUUAUUUAGAUUAAGGGGGACCUUCUUCCUUGCUCAGCAAGCCCAAGAGCUUGCACAUCCAGCAGAUCCACAAACUGCAUCAUGAAGAGAUCAAUCUGUGAUAUUCCGAUUUUAUUUUUGCAGUAAAGUCUCCAACAUCAGGAGUUAGACUACUCACACUGCUCUAUUACAUUUUAGAAUGUUCUGCUUACAUAUUUUUUUUCUCAUGCCUUUCUCUGCCCCUUGAAAUGCUACUUAUUCUUAAAGAUGGAGCUCAAAUGGCCUCUCAGCUAUUCCUCUCCUAACAACAACAAAAACCGUUAACAGCAAUCUUUCCUAAAGCCUGAAGGAUAAGACUUGGGCAUGCUUAUGAAAUUUAUUAGAAGAUUCUCUAAAGAGUUACCUGUGUUCAGAUUUGAUCUUUUCAUUUUAAGUUUCUUCAAGGCAAACAUUAUAUUGACACAUCAAUUUAUGUAUUUCCAACAAUGGGAAUAUAGAACUGAAAAAAACUUUUGUCAUUCUCAUGAAAUAAAUAGAAACUGAUUUAUGAUACUUA